rnacentral:misc_RNA from 1 species
GAUGAAGAACGUAGCAAAAUGCGAUAAGUAGUGUGAAUUGCAGAAUUCAGUGAAUCAUCGAAUCUUUGAACGCACAUUGCGCCCCUUGGUAUCCCGAGGGGCAUGCCUGUUCGAGCGUCAUUUCACCACUCAAGCCUGGCUUGGUGUUGGGCGACGUCCUCUUUGGGGACGCGCCUCGAAACGCUCGGCGGCGUGGCACCGGCUUUAAGCGUAGCAGAAUCUUUCGCUUUGGAAGUCGGGGCCCCGUCUGCCGGAAGACCUGCUCGCAAGGUUGACCUCGGAUCAGGCAGGGAUACCCGCUGAACUUAAGCAUAUCAAUAAGCGGAGGA